GGCACGGUGGCACAGUGGUUAGCACUGCUGCCUCACAUGCAGGAUUUGUAGGUUCAAAUCCAGCCUGGGGCC